CGUUUCCUUAAUUUAUAAAUGCGAGAUAUGGCUAGCUUAGAGCGAAAAAUUGCUAAGUCUACUUUUUGUAAAAACUCAUAUUUUGAUGUAGGAAGCAAGAGAAAU